rnacentral:ncRNA from 2 species
UAAAUCGAAGAGGCGCAACCGACAUGAGUAAGAGGCUCAAGCUACUAUAAGAGCGUUUGAGAGUCUUGUGAAAGGGGAAGUUGCCGAAGUGAGUGAUAGGUAUAGCUAUUACUUGGCUGGGUUGUAGUUUAAGAGACUGCAGACUGUCGCAAAUAAAGUGAUUUGCGGAGUGCUAUCGAUCUA